rnacentral:lncRNA from 1 species
CCUGCUAUAGGUUUAACACAGAUUUCAAAGAUGAAUAAUUGUCAUAGGUGUAACCACAAGAGAUUAAAAAAUACAUACUGAUAAGGACGCUGAUAGCGAUUUUUAGUUACUUCCACAUAUAGGAAAGAACCUAGGCACUAUAAGUCAGGAGAAGUUUAGAGCAUGGUUUCUGGACAUAACCAAGAAAAUGAUGCUCUUUAAAAUAUGAUGUUCACUAUUAUGGUGCAAACGUCAUUUAGGGAACCACUAGGUAUUCUGUGAUUGCUAUAUUCUGGGACUCAAAAUGUCACAGUCAUCUUUGCCUCUUGCACGUCUCAGAUACUUAUCUUGAAAGUAAGAUUCUCCUUUUAAGAGAUA